ensembl:lncRNA SDHAP4 SDHA pseudogene 4
AGGGACUGGCGGGACUGCGCGGAGGCGACUGCAGACGUAUCGGGGGUCCGGAGCCUGUCGCGGCUGCUAAGCGCUCGGCGCCUGGCGCUGGCGCUGGCCAAGGCUUGGCCAACAGUGUUGCAAACAGGAACCCGAGGUGUUCACUUCACUGUUGAAGGAACGAGAGGGCAUCUGCUAAAGUUUCAGAUUCCAUUUCUGCUCAGUAUCCAGUAGUGGAUCAUGAAUUUGAUGCAGUGGUGGUAGGCGCUGGAGGGGCAGGCUUUGCGAGCUGCAUUUGGCCUUUCCGAGGCAGAGUUUGAUACAGCAUGUGUUACCAAGCUGUUUCCUACCAGGUCACACACUGUUGCAGCGCAGGUUGGAAUCAAUGCUGCUCUGGGGAACAUGGAGGAGGACAACUGGAGGUGGCAUUUCUAUGACACCGUGAAGGGCUCCGACUGGCUGGGGGACCAGGAUGCCAUCCACUACGUGACGGAGCAGGCCCCCACUGCCAUGGUCGAGCUAGAAAAUUAUGGCAUGCCGUUUAGCAGAACUGAAGAUGGGAAGAUUUAUCAGCGUGCAUUUGGUGGACAGAGCCUCAAGUUUGGAAAGGGCAGGCAGGCCCAUCGGUGCUGCUGUGUGGCUGAUCGGACCGGCCACUCAAUAUUGCACACCUCAUAUGGGAGGUCUCUGAGAUAUGAUACCAGCUGUUUUGUGGAGUAUUUUGCCUUGGAUCUCCUGAUAGAGAACAGGGAGUGCCGUGGUGUCAUUGCACUGUGCAUAGAGGACGGGUCCAUCCAUCACAUAAGAGCAAAGAACACUGUUGUUGCCACAGGAGUCAAGAAACUUUUCUUUUGAGCUAUUGACAGCUUUUAACAAGUUAUUAUACUCCUAUGAACAAAAUUUGGAGCAUAUUUGUUUCUCUCUGCCUGAUUUCUCCUGAAUUUGGAAACUAUUUUGCCAUGGUCUCCAUGAACUGAUUUUUUUGUGCAGUGGGCAGGAAGAACCCAUCGGGCAGCUACACAUCUUGAAAGAGAAGCUCUUCCUGUGAGACUCUGGUAGCCAUCAUUCUACUCUAUCUCCACGGGCUCAAUUGUUUUGAGUUUUAGAUCCCACAAAUAAACGAGAACAUGUGAAGCUUG